UGUGGGUUAAAGCUAUUGAC
rnacentral:piRNA from 1 species